UUAACAAAGACUGUACUGGGGACUGCUCUUUAAAAGGCUGUUCAAUGGUGAUACUCUAUUUUUUUAACAUCAGCAUCAUUUAGAAACCUUUUAGAGGACUGUCCUGUUCACCCACAUUAGGCACAGGAGAAAA
rnacentral:miRNA from 1 species